rnacentral:lncRNA from 1 species
AGUGCGGGCAGCUACAGAAGCUCAUCGGCAUCUCCAUCGGCAGCCUGCACGGGCUGCGCACCAAGUGCGCUGUGUCCAACGGCCUCACCCAGCAGGAGAUACGGACCCUGGAGCCCUCUCAUCUUCUAGGUGAGGCCACUGAAGGUCUGAGGGAGAACUGACUUGUCAGGAACUCCUGUUAAGGAGAAUUAACAAAGUGUGGUUAUUAAAGGAGAACUGAGUUGGGAGUCAGACCUGGAGGACUGCACCCUUGGUUAAGACAUUAUACCACCUUGAGUCUGGCCUGUUGACUGAAGAGACAAGACCUCACUCUGUUGUCCAGGCUGGAGUGCAGUGGUAUCAAAAAGGCUCACUGUAGCCUCGACCACCAGGCUGAGGUGAUCCUCGCACCUCAGCUUCCUGGAUAGCUGGGACUAUAGGUCCAUUUCAUAUACAAGGAAAUGCAGUUACUCCGAGGACAAUUCAGCUAGCCAAGAGUCCCUGUACAGUGAGCAAUCUUUUGGGUCUUCUCAUCACUGAAGAAUUUCUAUGUGGACACUAAAGUAAUAUUAAAACCACUCACUCUCACUGGUAAUUUACAGAAUACAGUUUUAAUAAACAGCAAUAUUGACAACAAUAGCAAUGAUGAAACCUCUGAGCUUACCUAGAUGAGGAGAAAUUCGAAGUAUUCCAACGUCUGCCCUCAUGAAUAGAUCAAGCCUUGGGGGAAACCAGUGAUCUCUUGGCAACAGGACCAGAAGGUGGCAAGAAGAAAAGUUUAAGAAUUUCAAGUGGCUUGAUUGGACUCUUCUUCAUGGUCGCUGAGUCAAGGACCUUCUCUUCUAGUGAAUUUAAGGGUUUUGUGGAACACUAGUCUUUCUUUAUGAACUCUGUCCUCUUUCUCAUACAAUUUAUCUUUUCCACAUAUGGAUGGAAUAAAACUGCAGAAAAUAUAAUGAAAUGGAUAACCAUAUAUUUUUUAAAAUAGAAAUUUUUGAGUACUGACAUUCAAGGUUUUAAUUCUAGAUUUAAAAAUACAUUUUAUUUACACACUCAUCAGUUAAUGGAUGCUUGAAUUAUUUUCACUUUCAGUCUAUUAUGAAUAAUGCUGCUAUGAACGUUAAUGUAUAAGUAUUUGUGUGAACAAAUAGAACAGACAUGGUCAGUUCUCUUGUGUAUAUUCCUACAAGUAGAAUUUCUGGGUCUUAUGGCAGCUCUAUGUUUGAUUUUAUGCAGAAUUUCUAAACUGUUUUUCAAAGAAACUGUUUUACAUUCUGAGAAGCAAUGUAUGAGAGUUCUAAUUCUUUUACAUCCUCAAC